ACCAUGGAGUUGUGGUUGAUCUGGGUUUUCCUACUUGUUAUUUUAAAAGGUGUCCAGUGUAAGGUGAAGCAGGUGGAGUCUGGGGGAGGCUUGGUGCAGCCUGGAGGAGCUCUGAAACUCUCGUGUGCAGCCUCUGGAUUCACCUUCAGUGAUUUCUACAUGGACUGGGUCCAUCAGGCUCCAGGAAAGGGGCUGGAGUGUGUUGCUCGCAUUAGAAACAAAGCUAAUAGUCACACCACAGAAUACAAUGCAUCUGUGAAAGGCAGAUACACCAUCUCCAGAGAUGAUGACAAGAACAUGCUGUAUCUGCAAAUGAACAGCCUGAGAGAUGAAGACACAGCCAUGUAUUACUGUGUAACAGACACAGUGAGGAGACUUCAUUGUGAGCCCUGA